GGGUACGCCCGGUCCCUUUCCGAACCCGGAAGCUAAGCCCGAUUGCGCUGAUGGUACUGCACCUGGGAGGGUGUGGGAGAGUAGGUCGCUGCCAACC
rnacentral:rRNA from 1 species